rnacentral:rRNA from 1 species
AAUACGUAGGGGGCAAGCGUUGUUCGGAAUUACUGGGCGUAAAGGGCUCGUAGGUGGCCAACUAAGUCAGACGUGAAAUCCCCAGGCUCAACUUGGGAACUGCGUCUGAUACUGGAUGGCUUGAAUUCGGGAGAGGGAUGCAGAAUUCCAGGUGUAGCGGUGAAAUGCGUAGAUAUCUGGAGGAAUACCGGUGGCGAAGGCGGCAUCCUGGACCGAGAUUGACACUGAGGAGCGAAAGCCAGGGGAGCAAACGGGA